rnacentral:rRNA from 1 species
GACGAACGCUGGCGGCGUGCUUAACACAUGCAAGUCGAACGGAAAGGCCUCUUUCGGGGGGUACUCGAGUGGCGAACGGGUGAGUAACACGUGAGUAACCUGCCCUUGACUUUGGGAUAACUUCAGGAAACUGGGGCUAAUACCGGAUAGGAGCUCCUGCUGCAUGGUGGGGGUUGGAAAGUUUCGGCGGUUGGGGAAGGACUCGCGGCUUAUCAGCUUGUUGGUGGGGUAGUGGCUUACCAAGGCUUUGACGGGUAGCCGGCCUGAGAGGGUGACCGGCCACAUUGGGACUGAGAUACGGCCCAGACUCCUACGGGAGGCAGCAGUGGGGAAUAUUGCACAAUGGGUGGAAGCCUGAUGCAGCAACGCCGUGUGCGGGAUGACGGCCUUCGGGUUGUAAACCGCUUUCGCUCAUGACGAAGCUUUGUGUGACGGUAGUGGGUAAAGAAGCACCGGCUAACUACGUG